rnacentral:rRNA from 1 species
UACAGAGGUCCCGAGCGUUGUUCGGAUUCACUGGGCGUAAAGGGUGCGUAGGUGGCAUGGCAAGUUUGAUGUGAAAGCUCAGGGCUUAACCCUGAAAUGGCAUUGAAUACUGCUGUGCUGGAGGUUUGGAGGGGGGACUGGAAUUCUCGGUGUAGCAGUGAAAUGCGUAGAUAUCGAGAGGAACACCAGUGGCGAAGGCGAGUCCCUGGACAACACCUGACACUGAGGCACGAAAGCCAGGGGAGCAAACGGG